UUUUAAGUUACUUCAUCAACGCCCCAAAGUAAUCCCAAAGGGCGCGCGACGAAGAGCGUGGGAAAAAGGGUUGGACGAAGGAGGAGGGGAAGCCUCUCGAGGAGACGGGAAUGUUGAGGAAACACGCGAGCGAAGGGUAUUGGCAAAGAGAUACGCGCGGAGUUUGACGGAGGCUGUCGCGAUAUCGCAUUCUCAAUGUCGGAUUAUCGUCGUAAUUUUGCUAAUCGAACAGAGCAAUGACUUUGAUCCGGGCGGAAGAGCCAUCGCGUACGGGAUUUAUAUACCUCCCCGUGACAUUAAGUGCGCGUAUACAGAGGAUCGAUAACCUAUAUCCGGAAACAUGAUUUACCUUGUUUCAAGAUGUUCCAGCUCUGUGUUCCGACGUGAUCCCAUCCGCUUUUCAAAAUAUAAAAUUGAAAUUAAGAAAGAGGAGGAGGGGGGGCCGAAUCGUAAAAAGUUUUUAAGUACUUUUUCCACGAGGCACGGCGAAGCUGCAUUCAUAAGGCGCAGGAACUCUCAAGUGCAGGAAGGAAGCCGUUGGCUACGAGUGAAAGAGAGGGAAGCGAACUGGGAAGUGAAACGCUCCACGAAUUUUCUCGCAAUCGAGAAAACUUUCUUCGACGUUUCCCUUUAAUUAAUUUAAUUGACAGAAUAGUGUGUUUACCGGGGAACGCGUGCAACUCGAGUUGGAGAAACGGAAUCAAAAGUCGCGCGUGUGAGUUUUUUUUAUCCGUGAUUAAAAGCUCGUCGUUAAAUCGCUGAACCGGUACACGACGAAUAUAUAUUUUUAAUUUUUUCCUACUCGAACUUUACUAUCCUAAACCGGUUAUACCUUCAAUCUUGUUUAAGAAGUUUCGAGAAAAAAAAAUGUGAUGUCGCUCGAGCGUAUAUAUAUCUCUUAUUUUAAAAAUAAAAUAAACUAAGUUAUAUAUACGCGCGAAUCGAAAUGUAAUCGCGCAGUUGCCACUUUAUCCAAGCAAUCGAGCACAGUAUUUGCCAAAUUAACCAUACCAAAAUUAAAAGUGUCUUCGAUAUACAUAUAUAUAUAUAUUUAUAUAUUUUGCGCUUUAAUUUUUUCAAACUGUAGUAUCCUAAACGAGUUAAACCUUUAAUCUUGUUUAAGUUUCGAGAAAAAAAAAUAUGAUGUCGAGCGUAUAUUUUAAAAAUAAACGUAAGUUAUAUAUACGCGAAUCGAAAUGUAAUCGCGCAGUUGCCACUUUAUCCAAGCACAGUGUUUGCCAAAUUAACCAUACCAAAAUUAAAUUAUCUUCGACAUACAUGUAUAUAUUUAUAUAUUUUGCGUUUUAAUUUUUUCAAACUUUAGUGUCCUAAACGAGUUAAACCUUUAAUCUUGUUUAAGCUUCGAGAAAAAAAAUAUGAUAUGCUCGAGCAUAUAGCAUAUCUUUUAUUUUAAAAAUAAACGUUCGAGAGAAAAAAAAUAUCGCUCGAGCGUAUCUUUUAUUUUAUUUUAAAACUAAACAUCGGUAAACGUAAGUUACCAUGCACGCGGGUUUGGAAUCAAAAUGUAAUCUCGCGCAGUUGCCACUUUAUCCAAGCAAUCGAGCACAGUGUUUGUCAAAUUAACCAUGCCAGAAUUAAAUUGUCUUUGAUAUUUGAAUAAUCUAUUUGAUCAAGCUGCCCUACGCGAGCUCACCAAUCCUCGUCAAUGUAUAAUCAUUGGCGAGAUGUUUUGCGAAAUCUUGAUUAAUACAAUCGCUCGAGGAUCACUGUGCUAAGCUGCAUCGCAUGAUCAAGUUAUAUGUAUCAGGAUACUUAAGCCUCUGACGGUGUAAUUAUAUUUUCUCGCUAGAUUAGGCUCAGUUUCCGGAAGAAGAUAACGGAUAAGAUCGACGUUUGUUGCUAGUAUUAUGUAAAGAACAUAUAUAUAUAGUAUUUGUUAUAAACAAAAUGUUACGAAUGUGUUUUUUACAUUACAGCUCGAAUGAUAAAAAUAUCGAUAUUUCGAAAAUUUUUUAUUCGGCGACGAAAGAAGACAGUCGAAGAAUGGAAGAUCAGGUUUGUUGAAUUGUAGCGCGGAAAUUUGUGCGGAUGUGCAUCAAAUGAUGCAUCGAAAGUAAUAAUAUUUGUUAAAGAAAGAGUCAUUGAAAAAAGAAAAAAGCACGCAGUUUAUUAUCAGUCGGAAAAGAACAAAAAGGAGUAUGGCUUAAUUCGACAACGAGGAAGCUCGAAACAAUAUGGACAAGUUAGCCAAGGCGGUGAUAUAACCAGCGUGCUCGGUCGUAAAACGAUUUUAUCGCGGCCUGGCAGAUUGUCUUGGCCGGAAACCGGUCGGUAUUAAAAUAUAAAGCAACCGGGUGGCGGGUGGCGGGUUAUUAUACCCGGUGUUUACACCCCUGGUAAAACGUCAGGGUGGACGGGCAUUUACCGGUGGUGGGCAAAUGACGUUCACGAGCUUCACGCCCAUAAAUUGUAACCCGAGCGGAACGCGGCUUUUCUUAUUUAUACGCGCGCGCAUACACACAAGCCUGAAUAUCGCUUCAACAGAAUCAGAUUUGCGCUGCAAUCUCAUCCCCCGGCGUCACGUCAUAAGAGAGAGGCGUAGGUGAAAGGUGAAGGAGGAAGGAAAGGAGGGGAGGAACGAAGGCGAAGACAGACGUGGUGUAGCGUACGUAUGCGCAAGGAAGGAACGAGGGGCGAUGAUAAUUAAUGCGUUAAACGUAGAGAGAAAAAGAAUUACGCGGUAAAACUGUGGAAGAAUAUUGGCACGGAUCGAGAUAUCUUAAGAUUUAAGCGUGUAAAUAGGAGAUUAGAUUAUUAAGCGAUAAUUCUUGUGCUUAGCGUUUCUCAGAAAAUAUUAGCGGGAAAUGGAAGAAUAUUGGCACGGAUCGAGAUAUCUUUAGACUUGUAUAAAUAAGAGAUUAGAUUAUUGAGCGAUAAUCCAGUGUUUAGCGUUUCUCGGAAAAUAUUACUGGAAGAAAUUGGAAGAAUAUUGAUAUAGAUCGAGAUAUUUUAAGAUUUUAAUUUUAAUAAGAGAUCAGAUCAUUAAAUGAUCUAAUUCGGUAAUGGAGAUAUUUCUGGAAACUGGAAGAAUGUUGGCAUAGAUCGAGAUAUCUUAAGAGAUUAUUGAGUGAUAAUUCAGUGAUGAAAGCGAAUACACGUGAUGACGAUGUAUUCAUAUUAGACAUAAAGGAAAGAGAAUUGCUGGAAACUGGAAGAACAGAUCGAGAUAUCUUAAGACUUAAGUGUAAUAAAUAAGAGAUUAGAUUAAGUGAUAAUUCAGUUUUCUAGAAAAUAUUACUGGAAAAUGGAAGAAUACUAACAUAGAACGAGAUAUCUUAAGUUUUAAGCGUGUAAAUAAGGGAUUAGAUUAUUAACCGAUAAUUCAAUAUUUAACAUUUCCCAGAAAAUAUUAUUAGAAAGUGGAAGAAUAUUGGAAUGAAGAGAUGUGGAACAACAAUUUAAAUGUUUAUGAUUAAUAACAAUAAUUAAUUUUAUUUAUUAUCCAAUAUAUCAUUCUCCAUAUACUUUUCCACCAGACGUACAUCACGAUUUCACCGAUAAAUAAACGAUAAAAUACAGAAGGGAGCGAACGCGUGUACGUUUUUAUGUCACACGUGUACAUCCGGCGUAUAUACAUAUAUUUAUCUUAACGCGCAGUGAUCUGGUAAUAGUGGCCUGGAGAAUGAAUAUUUCAGCGGCAAUUUUAAUGUAAACUACGUUAACGCAGGACCGAUCCCCGGUGGCGGCGUCUCGAUUCAAUUAAAAAGCAAUUGUACCAUCGACGGAAUGAAUUAUUCAAGACCCCUCUCUUGCAACUUGCAAAAAAAAAAAAAAGAAGAAAGAAAAAAAACAUAUACAUACACACAAUAGAUUCCGGAUCGUGUAAAAAUCUCGGGGGAAAAAAAAAUUAUAAUUGCCUUCUCCAAGUAAUCGUGAGUGCGGCUCGUCCGUCGAAUAUUCAAUGCGGUGCCGCGUGUGCGCGAUGCCACGCAUCGAGACGCGAAACGAAGAUAAUUCAGCCCAAUCAGUUCUUCCGGUGUCUAAUUAAAAUUUCCUGCCGCACACCACCGCUCAACGGCGUUUGUGUCGCCCGGAAUUUUUCCACGGAUCAACGAACGAUCCUCUCCCGGUUUCACGCGUGCAAAACUUGCCACUUACCGCAAACAACUUUCGGUCGAAUCUCCAAGUACGGUAGAGACUCCCGUAUCCGUACCUCCUCCCCAUUAUCCGAAUAAUAUACGGACGUUCUAUUAUCCGUAUGCUCUGUUGUCCGCACAAGCGUUUCGUAGCGAUGUUUACGUACAACAUACUUGGAUUGCAACGUAAAUGCAACGUAUUUUCGGAUGUAAUAAAUACUUUCCUGCGUUCGGCCGGUUAAAUGUAAUCGUAUCAAUUCGGUGGGGAGGCAGGUAAACGAAAACGCGUAGUUUUAACUAUUGAAGAGAGAUACGAAAUAAUAAAAGAUGCGGUGAAAGUGGAACGAAAUUGGCAAGAAUAUGGUGGAUGGUUCGAUGGUUUGAGGCGCGACGGGAAAUUCUACGCAGCUGCUUACAAUAAAAAAUUUACGACUUAACGGUUAGAAAGAUAUGGGACCUUUAGAUAUUGUAAGAAACUGUCAAUUUUGUUCGUUUCUACUCGAAUAAAUGAAGUAAUUAAUAAAAAAGAAAAUAAUUGUUCUAUUUAUUCGAAAAUUCCAUUUUUGUUAAUUCGGAUACAGGAUUCUCUACUGUAUCCACAUACGCAUGGUGUUUGAACAAUGGAAGAUAAUUGGAUAAAAUUAUUUUUUUUAAAAAUUACGAUACUGCUUUUGACUAAAUAUAUAAAGAAGGAAAAUAUGUAAUAAUCAAUACAUAAAGAAUAUAUAAAUAUGCAAAUGUAUAAAUAUUCAUGACUCGAAAACCGUUGGAUAACCGUGAAAAAUAUCUAUAUGACAGAUAUGGCAGUGAAAAAAGUUAUAGCAGGCAAUCAACUUAGAAAGUAUUUCGAAUUUGACGAGCAUACGAUAAACUGGAUUUCGAAAUGGAAUAUUUUAAAAAAAAUAGGUAUUAAAGGAAAAUGAUAAUCUUAGGCUAUAAAUUAUUCUAUAGAUACUGAUACUAAUAAUACUGAUAAUUUAACAAAUUAACGAUAAAACUGUAAGAAGACAUACAGCAUAUCGAUCGUUCAAAGAUCGAAACGAUUAAAGUUAGGAAUAUUAUUAUUGAUAAUAUUAUUAUAAUAUAAAAUAGCUUAAAAACAAUUUCAAUAUAAUUUUGCAAAAUUUUGCGAAUCAAAUAUGGUAGUAAAAAAAUAAAGAAAUAAAAAGUUGAAAGUUUCUAUUUUUCGUACAUUCAACUCUCAUCGUAUAAAAAAUCAUUAACAAAUCAUUACACUUCUAAUACGGAAUAAUUAAACUUAACUUUAAUUUACAAAAAAAAUAAAAAACUCAUCGAUAAUUUAUAACGAUUUAAAUUAAAAUACACAAAUUUCGAGAUAUUCGUAUCGGUUAUAAAAUUGAAAUUUAAGUACUUUUUAAAAAAUUAUCGAUCAAUUCCCUGCCUAUAUACACGUAUUUUGAUCGAUCUGUAAACGUUUAAAAAGAGGAUUUAAAAUUUUAAUGUACAGCUAUUGUUACAUGGAAACAAUUACCUUUCUAUACAUUCGAAAAUUAAUUUUCCCCAGUUGAUAUACUGCGCUAUUCGAACCGGUGUUACGACGUGUCGAGAUUAAAUAACAACGCAUUCAUCGAUCGAACAUUUUUUAAUCGCGCCACUUACCUGAAACAAAAAGGAAAAAAUAACGUCGGUUACAUCUCUGUAUAUAAAUUAUCUUUCGUUCGUUCAAGAAUAUCAUUCGAAUAAAAUUAAAAAAAAGAAAAAAAA